rnacentral:rRNA from 1 species
UACGGAGGGUGCGAGCGUUGUCCGGAAUCACUGGGCGUAAAGGGCGCGUAGGCGGCAGGCCAAGCGUGCGGUGAAAAUCCGGGGCUCAACCCCGGACUUGCAGUGGGUACGGGCAGACUGGAGUGUGGUAGGGGAGACUGGAAUUCCUGGUGUAGCGGUGGAAUGCGCAGAUAUCAGGAGGAACACCGGUGGCGAAGGCGGUUCUCUGGGCCUGUACUGACGCUGAGGAGCGAAAGCGUGGGGAGCGAACAGG